rnacentral:tRNA from 1 species
GGGCCCGUGGCCUAGCCAGGAUAUGGCGUCGGCCUUCUAAGCCGAAAGUCGCGGGUUCGAAUCCCGCCGGGCCCG